rnacentral:rRNA from 1 species
UUACUGAGAACCGGGCCCUCGCGGUCCGACCCUCAACCACCGCGUACCAAACUUUUCGUUGCCUCGGCGGGCCGGGCCUACGCCCACCGCCUCACCCCCCCGCUCACCCGGGGAGGCGAGGGGGGUCGCGCCCGCCGCAGGACACCAAAAAAACCGUUUCGUAUGACGAACGUCUGAUAUUCUUUUAGCGAAUGCUAUAAAGUACAACUUUCAACAAUGGAUCUCUUGGCUCUGGCAUCGAUGAAGAACGCAGCGAAAUGCGAUAACUAGUGUGAAUUGCAGAUUUCAGUGAAUCAUCGAGUCUUUGAACGCACAUUGCGCCCCUUGGUAUUCCUCGGGGCAUGCCUAUUCGAGCGUCGUUUCCACCCUCAAGCCCAGGCUUGGUGUUGGGGAUCGCCCCUCCUCCGUGAGGCGGCGGCCCUUGAAUUCAUCGGCGGUGCCGGUGUGGCCCUGAGCGCAGCAGCGAUGCAGCUCUCGACCCUCCGAAACCGGCCGCGCAAGACAGCAGGCGGUACCCUUCGCGGUCCACCGGCAAAAAUCCAAACGUCGACCUCGAAUUAGGUAGGGAUACCCGCUGAACUUAAGCAUAUCAAUAAGCGGAGGAAAAGAAACCAACAGGGAUUGCCUCAGUAACGGCGAGUGAAGCGGCAACAGCUCAAAUUUGAAAUCUGGCUCCUUUGGAGUCCGAGUUGUAAUUUGUAGAGGAUGCUUCGGCGUCGGCCCCGCACAAAGUUCCUUGGAACGGGACGUCAUAGAGGGUGAGAGCCCCGUGUCUAUGCGGAUGCCUUCGCCAUGUGAAGCUCCUUCGACGAGUCGAGUUGUUUGGGAAUGCAGCUCAAAACGGGAGGUAAAUUUCUUCCAAAGCUAAAUACCGGCCAGAGACCGAUAGUGCACAAGUAGAGUGAUCGAAAGAUGAAAAGCACUUUGGAAAGAGAGUCAAACAGCGCGUGAAAUUGUUGAAAGGGAAGCGCUUGAGGUUAGACUUUGCCGUAGUUGUUCGGCGGGGCUUCUGCCCCGUUUACUCUUCUGCGGCAGGGCCAGCAUCGAUUUGGGCGGCUGGACAAAAGUCGCGGGAACGUAGCACCUCUCGGGGUGUGUUAUAGCCCGCGGCACAAUGCAGCCAGCCCGGAUCGAGGUCUGCGC